rnacentral:rRNA from 1 species
AUUGAACGCUGGCGGCAGGCCUAACACAUGCAAGUCGAGCGAGCGGCGGACGGGUGAGUAAUGUCUGGGAAACUGCCUGAUGGCGGGGGAUAACUACUGGAAACGGUAGCUAAUACCGCAUACCAUCAGAUGUGCCCAGAUGGGAUUAGCUAGUAGGUGGGGUAAUGGCUCACCUAGGCGACGAUCCCUAGCUGGUCUGAGAGGAUGACCAGCCACACGGGAACUGAGACACGGCCCAGACUCCUACGGAAGGAAGCAGUGGGAAAUAUUGCACAAUGGGCGAAAGCCUGAUGCAGCCAUGCCGCGUGUGUGAAGAGGGCCUUGGGGUUGUAAAGCACGUUAAGCGGGGAGGCGUUACCCGCAGAAGAAGCACCGGCUAACUCCGUGCCAGCAGCCGCGGUAAUUC